AGUGAACGCUGGCGGUAGGCCUAACACAUGCAAGUCGAACGGCAGCACAGUAAGAGCUUGCUCUUACGGGUGGCGAGUGGCGGACGGGUGAGGAAUACAUCGGAAUCUACUUUUUCGUGGGGGAUAACGUAGGGAAACUUACGCUAAUACCGCAUACGACCUACGGGUGAAAGCAGGGGAUCUUCGGACCUUGCGCGAUUGAAUGAGCCGAUGUCGGAUUAGCUAGUUGGCGGGCUAAAGGCCCACCAAGGCGACGAUCCGUAGCUGGUCUGAGAGGAUGAUCAGCCACACUGGAACUGAGACACGGUCCAGACUCCUACGGGAGGGAGCAGUGGGGAAUAUUGGACAAUGGGCGCAAGCCUGAUCCAGCCAUACCGCGUGGGUGAAGAAGGCCUUCGGGUUGUAAAGCCCUUUUGUUGGGAAAGAAAAGCAGCAGGUUAAUACCCCGCUGUUCUGACGGUACCCAAAGAAUAAGCACCGGCUAACUUCGUG
rnacentral:rRNA from 1 species